CUUUCCCAAUUUGAAGGCGGGCUGGAAUCUCUCGGGGUUACAGCCUUGCUGAAUUAUUCACCCUUGUCUUUUGCGUACUUCUUGUUUCCUUGGUGGGUUCGCCCACCACUAGGACAAACAUAAACCUUUUGUAAUUGCAAUCAGCGUCAGUAACAAAUUAAUAAUUACAACUUUCAACAACGGAUCUCUUGGUUCUGGCAUCGAUGAAGAACGCAGCGAAAUGCGAUAAGUAGUGUGAAUUGCAGAAUUCAGUGAAUCAUCGAAUCUUUGAACGCACAUUGCGCCCUUUGGUAUUCCAAAGGGCAUGCCUGUUCGAGCGUCAUUUGUACCCUCAAGCUUUGCUUGGUGUUGGGCGUCUUGUCUCUAGCUUUGCUGGAGACUCGCCUUAAAGUAAUUGGCAGCCGGCCUACUGGUUUCGGAGCGCAGCACAAGUCGCACUCUCUAUCAGCAAAGGUCUAGCAUCCAUUAAGCCUUUUUUCAACUUUUGACCUCGGAUCAGGUAGGGAUACCCGCUGAACUUAAGCAUAUCAAUAGGC
rnacentral:rRNA from 1 species